UACGAAGGGGGCUAGCGUUGUUCGGAUUUACUGGGCGUAAAGCGCACGUAGGCGGAUUGUUAAGUCAGGGGUGAAAUCCUGGAGCUCAACUCCAGAACUGCCUUUGAUACUGAAGAUCUUGAGUCCGGGAGAGGUGAGUGGAACUGCGAGUGUAGAGGUGAAAUUCGUAGAUAUUCGCAAGAACACCAGUGGCGAAGGCGGCUCACUGGCCCGGUACUGACGCUGAGGCACGAAAGCGUGGGGAGCAAACAGG
rnacentral:rRNA from 1 species